GAAACCAUUUACCUUUUUAAUUAUCAAGAUCAAAUUUCAUUAUUACUUAUAUAACAAAGCAUUCGUUCAUUUAUUUGAACUCAAUUAGAAGUCUUAUAUAUUUCCGAUUUGGCUAAUAUUUUGUAAGGAUGAUCUAUAAGGCACAACUUGCAAAAUAGACGGCAGAGAUUGAAGUAGCAGAGAAGCUCAUUGCGAAAUAAACAACGAUGAGUUGAGGUUUUCUUGAGUUGUGUUGAGUGGUGUUUGGAGAUUUGAAACGGGUUUUGCAGAUUCACGGUGGAGGUGAAAAAAUGAAAGAGAACCGACAUAGUUUUUCGUGUCGAUUCCCACAAACGACGCCAAAUGUUGAUGCACAAAACCUGAGGUCUUGGAACAACGUAAAUCCGACCGUGAAUUUGCAAGAAAGUGAAGAACACAAGAUGUAUCGUGGUUCACCCCAAUGUUUGGGCUACGUCCACACUGAUAUUGUAUUUCUUUGAGGAUUGAGGAUGAGAGGGUGAGAGCUUCUGAGGGUGAGAAAGCUUUUCCCAUGGCCUAAGAAUUGGCCUCCCCGAAUAAGGAGAGUGAGGGGUUCUUUUAUAGAAUAAGGGCUUUUCACUUAUUACAUAUUUGCCCCUUCAUUUGUUACAUAAUUACAUUUGAGUCCCCCGAGUAUUUAUACGAGGUCUAAAUACGGAGGCACUAAGUAUGGUACAAACAGUAGUCCCCCAAGUCUUCAGUUAAGAGAGUCUUUUGGCUGGAGACUUGAAAUUCAGUCCAUGUGUGGGCCGAAAUAACUAGAUGUCGUCUUAAACUGAUACUCGAUAUGAGGCGGUACUCAAUCUGAAAUGAUGCUUAACUAGGAGUAGCACAUGUUGCGAGGUUGCUCGGCUUGUGGCUUAUGUUGCCUUGGUUGGCUCGGCUUGUGGCGUUGAAGGUGAGGAAGUCCCUUUUAUAGAAUAAGGGCUCGCUCCUCAAUACAUAAGUGAUGGGCUAGAGUUGAUGCUCACGGCGAGGCGGUUGCUCAGCUGGCGGCGAUGCUCUCUAAUGAUGGUGAGAGAGUCAUUUUUAUAGAAUAAGGGCUCGUUCCUCAAUACAUAUUUGCCCCUUCAUUUAUUACAUAAUUACAUUUGAGUCCCCCGAGUAUUUAUAUGAGGUCUAAAUACAGAGGCCCUAAGUAUGGUACAAACAGUAGUCCCCAAAGUCUUCAGUCAAAAGAGUCUUUUGGCUGGAGACUUGAAAUUCAGUCCAUGUGUAGGCCGAAGUAACUAGAUGUCGUCUUGAACUGAUACUCGAUAUGAGGUGGUACUUAAUCUGAAAUGAUGCUCAACUAGAAGUAGCACAUGUUGCGAGGCUGCUUGGCUUGUGGCUUAUGUUGCCUU
rnacentral:lncRNA from 1 species